GCAGUCGACGAACAUUUGCGACAGAUUUUUUCGGAAUGAAGUUGCUUAUGACUGAGUGGCGGACGGGUGAGUAUCGCGUGGGUAACCUGCCUUGUACUGGGGGAUAGCAGCUGGAAACGGCUGGUAAUACCGCAUAAGCGCACAAUGUUGCAUGACAUGGUGUGAAAAACUCCGGUGGUAUAAGAUGGACCCGCGUCUGAUUAGCUAGUUGGUGAGAUAACGGCCCACCAAGGCGACGAUCAGUAGCCGACCUGAGAGGGUGACCGGCCACAUUGGGACUGAGACACGGCCCAGACUCCUACGGGAGGCAGCAGUGGGGAAUAUUGCACAAUGGAGGAAACUCUGAUGCAGCGACGCCGCGUGAGUGAAGAAGUAAUUCGUUAUGUAAAGCUCUAUCAACAGGGAAGAUAGUGACG
rnacentral:rRNA from 1 species